GCCCUACGGGGCGCAGCAGGCGCGAAACCUCUGCAAUGCGGGAAACCGUGACAGGGGGAUCCCAAGUGCUCAUGCAUUGCAUGGGCUGUUCUUUGGUCUAAGUAACCAGAGGAGUAAGGGCUAGGCAAGACCGGUGCCAGCCGCCGCGGUAAUACCGGCAGCUCAAGUGGUAGCCGCGAUUAUUGGGCCUAAAACGUUCGUAGCCGGAUAAGUAAGUCUUUGGUUAAAUCCUGCGACUCAACCGUGGGAAUUCUAGAGAUACUGCUCGUCUUGAGACCGGGAGAGGUUGGAGGUACUCCUAGGGUAGGGGUGAAAUCCUGUAAUCCUAGGGGGACCACCUGUGGCGAAGGCGUCCAACUGGAACGGGUCUGACGGUGAGGGACGAAACCUAGGGGAGCGAGCCGGAUUAGAUACCCGGGUAGUCCUAGGCGUAAAUGAUGCGAGUUAAGUGUGGGGGCAUCUACGAGAUGGCCCUGUGCUGUAGGGUAGCCGUUAAACUCGCUGCCUGGGGAGUACGGUCGCAAGGCUGAGACUUAAAGGAAUUGGCGGGGGAGCACCACAAGAGGUGGAGGCUGCGGUUCAAUUGGACUCAACGCCGGAAACCUCAUCG
rnacentral:rRNA from 1 species